UUCAGUUGUUUCAGUUACUAGAGAAGCACAGCACACAAGUAAGAGUUUUUGCAUCUAAAUUUGGAGAUGGAGCUGGCAUUGCGCACUUUAUCAUUUGCCUCCUUCUCCAAGACUAAAAUAAUGUCUGCAAGGCUUAAUUUGGCAGUAAUUUCCCAAAUCUAACUGAUUCCAUGUAUCAACGGCACCCUAUCUGUAUUAGUUCUAGAAAGUAGAUAGGAUUCAAUACGGUUUUUCUGGAUUUCUGCUGCAGUGAUAACUUUAUGGAGUGAUUUACUGUUUUUGUUCUUCCUGAACGACAAAGAUCUCUUAGAUGUUAGUGAUGGAAGAAAUCAGUUACAAGUAUUGUUCUUGGAUCAUCUGCUACAUAUGUUUUUCAGGCCUAUACUGGAAUUUUGUACAAGCAUGAUCUGUUAUGUGCUUCAACCAAUCCGUGACUAAUAUUUUGAUUUAUUUCCUAGCAAACAUCUCACAAACAUUAUGAGUUUUGAGGUAAUGCAUAUGUUCUUUUUUUCUUAA